rnacentral:rRNA from 1 species
UACGUAGGGUGCAAGCGUUAAUCGGAAUCACUGGGCGUAAAGGGUGCGUAGGCGGGUCUUUAAGUCAGGGGUGAAAUCCUGGAGCUCAACUCCAGAACUGCCUUUGAUACUGAGGAUCUUGAGUUCGGGAGAGGUGAGUGGAACUGCGAGUGUAGAGGUGAAAUUCGUAGAUAUUCGCAAGAACACCAGUGGCGAAGGCGGCUCACUGGCCCGAUACUGACGCUGAGGCACG